UACGUAGGGUGCGAGCGUUAAUCGUAAUUACUGGGCGUAAAGCGUGCGCAGGCGGUUUUGUAAGACAGGCGUGAAAUCCCCGGGCUCAACCUGGGAAUUGCGCUUGUGACUGCAAAGCUGGAGUGCGGCAGAGGGGGAUGGAAUUCCGCGUGUAGCAGUGAAAUGCGUAGAUAUGCGGAGGAACACCGAUGGCGAAGGCAAUCCCCUGGGCCUGUACUGACGCUCAUGCACGAAAGCGUGGGGAGCAAACAGG
rnacentral:rRNA from 1 species